rnacentral:misc_RNA from 1 species
GAAAUGCGAUACGUCAUGCGAAUUGCAUAGCCAGCGAGUCAUCAAAACUUUGAACGCAUCUUGCGCUUCCCUUUCGGGGAGCAUGUCUGUUGGAGUAUCUGUAGAACUCUCUUGAGUCUUUCGACUCGUGGUCUCCCUCCAAUACCCACUGGAGAUGGAUAGAUGUAAAGGCUUUUGUCAGCUACUUCCCUUGUGGAAUGUGGGCGGAAUGCUAGCGAUUCAGAUGUGGCAUUUUGGCCGUAUUCUCGAACGACCCUUGUGGAGUUCCUCUUGUAGGACGAAGCAAGUUGUGGCUUUCAAGUAGAGAAUUGCGUGAGCUAUCUUGCACCAACACAUACUGAGAAUUAUAAGGAGAAGUGUGUCUUCUCGAUCAGACCUCCAAUCAGACAAGAAUACCCGC